UAUUAAACCUUGCCCGAACCAACAACCAUUUCAGUCGUUGGACUCCAAGCGUAGUGCAGUAGCAUUUUUUCAAAAGCUCAAGAUGAAGUGUCUCGUUGUUGCAGUCAUCAUUACAUUGGUUGUUCAAAGCCUAGCUUCUGAAAUGGAAAGCGACUUUCAAAUGCAGGCGCUCAAGAAAAGAGGGUGGAAAUCGCUCUGGUUUGCCUGUUCAAAGACUUCCGAAUGCCUCCCAGGCCAUGUUUGCGAACAUAAUGUUGAUAACUGCGUAAUUCCAAAAGACAACACGUGUUGCCUUUACGGAUAGGACGCCCUGGCACAACGAUACCAUAUGGAAAGUAUCGGAGUCACAUAAAGUUCGCAUUCUUCGAAAUGUUUGAUUAAAUUGGUUAUCAUUGUGUAUGUUAAUACCUUACAAUAAAUAGACGUCUGGAAAAUUCUUCUAUUUAUUUCUUCACUGCGGUACAAAGCAAAUUUUAUGUUAUUCCGUGUCGUUGUAGUGCAAAUUAUACAUGUAUAUUUCCGAGUAAACAGUUUUAAACAGAACUUCCCCAAAAUGUUUGAACGAAUUUAUCAACAUUCAUAGGGAGCAACCAUCACUACUAUUCAUAGCCUUUGGUAGCACACAAAUGUAGUAGUUCUUGAUACUGGUAUCCCUGGAGCUUAAAGUGCAUGUAAACGGCACAAUAUCAUGUUUCGACUCAUAUCAUUUUGUGGUCGAGUCUGCUUGGGAA